UACGGGGGGGGCAAGCGUUGUUCGGAAUUACUGGGCGUAAAGGGCUCGUAGGUGGCCAACUAAGUCAUACGUGAAAUCCCUCGGCUUAACCGGGGAACUGCGCCUGAUACUGGUUGGCUUGAGUUUGGGAGAGGGAUGCGGAAUUCCAGGUGUAGCGGUGAAAUGCGUAGAUAUCUGGAGGAACACCGGUGGCGAAGGCGGCGUCCUGGACCAAUACUGACACUGAGGAGCGAAAGCCAGGGGAGCAAACGGG
rnacentral:rRNA from 1 species